rnacentral:rRNA from 1 species
UGGUGGCGACCGGCGCACGGGUGAGUAACGCGUAUGCAACCUUUCUAUCAGAGGGGAAUAACCCGGCGAGAGUCGGACUAAUACCGCAUAAAACAGGGGCACCGCAUGGUGAUAUUUGUUAAAGAAAUUCGCUGAUAGAUGGGCAUGCGUUCCAUUAGGUAGUUGGUGAGGUAACGGCUCACCAAGCCGACGAUGGAUAGGGGAACUGAGAGGUUGGUCCCCCACACUGGUACUGAGACACGGACCAGACUCCUACGGGAGGCAGCAGUGAGGAAUAUUGGUCAAUGGGCGAGAGCCUGAACCAGCCAAGUCGCGUGAAGGAAGAAGGAUCUAUGGUUCGUAAACUUCUUUUGCAGGGGAAUAAAGUGCAGGACGUGUUCUGUUUUGUAUGUACCCUGAGAAUAAGGAUCGGCUAACUCCGUGCCAGCAGCCGCGGUAAUACGGAGGAUCCGAGCGUUAUCCGGAUUUAUUGGGUUUAAAGGGUGCGUAGGUGGUUUGAUAAGUCAGCGGUGAAAGUUUGCAGCUUAACUGUAAAAAUGCCGUUGAAACUGUCGGACUUGAGUGUAAAUGAGGUAGGCGGAAUGCGUGGUGUAGCGGUGAAAUGCUUAGAUAUCACGAAGAACUCCGAUUG